rnacentral:rRNA from 1 species
UACGGGGGGGGCAAGCGUUGUUCGGAAUUACUGGGCGUAAAGGGCUCGUAGGUGGCCAACUAAGUCAGACGUGAAAUCCCUCGGCUUAACCGGGGAACUGCGUCUGAUACUGGAUGGCUUGAGUUUGGGAGAGGGAUGCGGAAUUCCAGGUGUAGCGGUGAAAUGCGUAGAUAUCUGGAGGAACACCGGUGGCGAAGGCGGCAUCCUGGACCAAUACUGACGCUGAAUAGCGAAAGCCAGGGGAGCAAACGGG